rnacentral:rRNA from 1 species
GAUGAACGCUGGCGGCGUGCCUAAUACAUGCAAGUCGAGCGGUAAGGUUCUCACUCUGUAUUUAACGAGUUUGAAUAUAGUGUGAGAAUACACGAGCGGCGGACGGCUGAGUAACACGUA